UUGGCAGAUUCUUUUCCUCUCUUCAUCUUCUACCUUGCGCCACCAUGCUUCAUUCCUUCAACUCCUUCUUCUUCAUGGCAUCGAGUUCUCUACCUUUCUUUCAUCUUUUCUUGGUGGCGGAACAACCUCCAAGUUUGGUGAAGAGCUCGUGGAGGAGUGGAAACGACUGUUGGGAGCAUUUGUCUGUGAGUAGUUAAUAGUAAUUGCAUAGUAAUAUUAGGGUUUUUAAAAUUCAUUCGUGAAUUCAUAUAUGCACUUUAUCGAUAUAUUAUGGUCAUGAUGCUAUCAUCCUUUCUAAUAAGGUUUUGCAGGUUUCACUGGUCUUUUUGGUAUGUUGAAAGGUCAAAUGCAGAUUAUUACUUUAUUUAGAAAUGUUUGGAUUUUGAUACUCAUAUUAUGUUCAGUUAUAUGCUAUGUUUCAUAAUUAACUAUAUGUCUAGUUUUAUUUUUGCUAGUUGUGUGUAAAUUGCUUUUCAAAGUGUAUUUAUUUUGAAAGAAGUAUGCUCAUAUGUGUACACAUCUACAUUCCAAGGGAUAUGGUUUGAUGUGCAUUUAUUUAAUUGGGCAUUUGUGUGAUGAAUUCCUUGAAUUGGACAUUGGAAAGAAUUACAUUGUUGUAAUUGAGGUUGAUGGUGACUACGGAUAUUAGUCCGACACUACAGUGGUGCUCCACUGUCCGACUUGAUUGGAGGCGGCGUGGUUAAUCCUGAGUUUACCCCUGGUCCAAAGGUGCGUAGAGCUAUUGAAAGGGUUUAAUUAUGUGCGAAACCUGGGGUUACCACACGGGGAUCUCAAUGGCCAACGCAAAGUGAAAAGGUAUGAGCAUGUUUUCUCUUUUGUAAGCCUUGCGACGAUUCAGGGUUGGAUGGUGUGUAUCCUUCCUCAAGAUUGUCAUCGUGACUGUCACGUGCCUGGCUCGUAGCUCGUGGCGUGACACGUAACAUAGGUCACAAGCACCUGACAGAAGAACUUAUGAUCCAGGGCUUAUACCUAUAAGUUUAAUAGUAAUACCCAGACAAAAGACCAUAUAUACAGGCUACGGCUAUGAUUACACCGUAAGUGGCCCGUAAGACUCAUAACUCAUCAUCUUCAAGUCCAUACGAAGCCAAGAUUAUGCCUGUAAGGUGUCCCCGUAAACCUAAAGGUAUAAAAAGGGGUUUCUAAGGGUUUUGGAGGAGACUUUAGGUGGCUAGGAAGAAAGGAAGAGGAAAAAGGCUAAUGAGAGGUUUUCUUCACCAAACCAAGUGAGAACCAAGGAUGACAAGGUUU